UUUUGCCUACGGGAGGCAGCAGUGGGGAAUAUUGCACAAUGGGCGAAAGCCUGAUGCAGCAACGCCGCGUGAAGGAAGACGGUUUUCGGAUUGUAAACUUCUAUCAAUAGGGAAGAAAGAAAUGACGGUACCUAAAUAAGAAGCCCCGGCUAACUACGUGCCAGCAGCCGCGGUAAUACGUAGGGGGCAAGCGUUAUCCGGAAUUACUGGGUGUAAAGGGAGAGUAGGCGGCAAGGUAAGCGAUAUGUGAAAGCCUUAAGCUUAACUUAAGGAUGGCAUAACGAACUAUCUAGCUAGAGUACAGG
rnacentral:rRNA from 1 species